rnacentral:rRNA from 1 species
AGUGAACGCUGGCGGCAUGCCUAACACAUGCAAGUCGAACGGCAGCACGGGUGCUUGCAGCUGUUGGCGAGUGGCGGACGGGUGCGUAAUACAUCUGAACCGGUCCCGUAUUUGUGGUGAGCGCGGCGAAAGCCGGAUUUAUACCGCUUACGAACUACACCUACAAGUGAGGGACGUUGAGGCUUCGACCUUUGGGGUUGGCAGAUGGCUGAUUAGCUAGUUGGUGUGGUAAAGGCCUACCAAGGCGACGAUCAGUAGCUGGUCUGAGAGGGUGACCAGCCACACUGGGACUGAGACACGGCCCAGACUCCUACGGGAGGCAGCAGUGGGGAAUUUUGGACAAUGGGCGCAAGCCUGAUCCAGCAAUGCCGCGUGGGUGAAGAAGGCCUUCGGGUUGUAAAGCACUUUUGUUGGGAAAGAAAUCCUUCAGCCUAAUACGGUCCUGUUAUGACGGUACCGGAAGAAUAAGCACCGGCUAACUACGUG